GAAACCUAUUUAAGGGAAGAAAAAGGGUUCGACUUCACCUGAACGGAAAGUAAAAGAGAACGUAACAUGCAUUGCCAAAGGAGGGAUUUGAAAAUAAUGCUGCAAAACAAAAUGAUGGAAACAAUGACUCAGAUGGGGAGUUGGCUGUAAAUCGAAGUGCUUUUAUUUCCUCUUUACUGAAAAUCAUUUUCAUAUAGGUCAAGCAAAUGUUGGAUUAUGUCCACACAUCCACAAUGGUAUCAUCAUGCCUAGCUGCUGUAACAGUUAUCAUCAUUUUGCCCUUUAAGUAUUUGUGUGCAGUAGAGAUGAAAGAGGUUAAACUUGGAGACGUGGUGACAAUAAUGUGUAACAACUCUUUCUACAAUGAAAUCCACUGGCUAAAGAUAAGCGUUGAAGGGCAGCCAAUCCCCCUGAUGGUCACAAACUUAAAACAUAAUGGAGAACUAUCUGUUGUCUGGAAUUUAGAGCCGACUCAUUUUGAAGGUAUUAAGGAUAGUCGGAUUAUAGGACUGAGAAUUUUUAAUGUCUCCACUAAUGAUCUUGCCACAUACUAUUGUGUGACUGUAAAUGGAAAACAGAUGAAUUUUGACGAAGGGCUGAAAUUAUACACAAUACAGGGCAAUGAGGAAGAACAGUCAUUUAACCUCGUGGAAGGAAAAAGUUUUGUUGGACAUUCUCCACAUUAUCAAGUAUUUGCAGCAGUGCUGAGUUUUGGCUUACUGGGAAUGCUGGUGGCUGUUUCUGUGGUGCAUAUGAAGGCCAGGACAAAAAACAAAAUUAAAAAUGAUGAUAUACAAAUUUAAUAAUAUACAUAAUAGAGAUACCAUAUCAGUAAACUUCUUCUUUAUUUGAAUAAUCUCAAUUACUGUCUGGUUCAUAUAAAUAAAUAAAUUAUUGCACAUUUUAAGUUGUCUUUUAUUUUUAGCUGUAACACUGUUGUAUCAUAUGAUUAUGCAUUUCAUAUUUUGAGUUAUUUGUGCAAGAUAAAAUGAA